rnacentral:rRNA from 1 species
GGUUAAGCGACUAAGCGUACACGGUGGAUGCCCUGGCAGUCAGAGGCGAUGAAGGACGUGCUAAUCUGCGAUAAGCGUCGGUAAGGUGAUAUGAACCGUUAUAACCGGCGAUUUCCGAAUGGGGAAACCCAGUGUGUUUCGACACACUAUCAUUAACUGAAUCCAUAGGUUAAUGAGGCGAACCGGGGGAACUGAAACAUCUAAGUACCCCGAGGAAAAGAAAUCAACCGAGAUUCCCCCAGUAGCGGCGAGCGAACGGGGAGCAGCCCAGAGCCUGAAUCAGUGUGUGUGUUAGUGGAAGCGUCUGGAAAGGCACGCGAUACAGGGUGACAGCCCCGUACACAAAAAUGCACAUGCUGUGAGCUCGAUGAGUAGGGCGGGACACGUGGUAUCCUGUCUGAAUAUGGGGGGACCAUCCUCCAAGGCUAAAUACUCCUGACUGACCGAUAGUGAACCAGUACCGUGAGGGAAAGGCGAAAAGAACCCCGGCGAGGGGAGUGAAAAAGAACCUGAAACCGUGUACGUACAAGCAGUGGGAGCACGCUUAGGCGUGUGACUGCGUACCUUUUGUAUAAUGGGUCAGCGACUUAUAUUCUGUAGCAAGGUUAACCGAAUAGGGGAGCCGAAGGGAAACCGAGUCUUAACUGGGCGUUAAGUUGCAGGGUAUAGACCCGAAACCCGGUGAUCUAGCCAUGGGCAGGUUGAAGGUUGGGUAACACUAACUGGAGGACCGAACCGACUAAUGUUGAAAAAUUAGCGGAUGACUUGUGGCUGGGGGUGAAAGGCCAAUCAAACCGGGAGAUAGCUGGUUCUCCCCGAAAGCUAUUUAGGUAGCGCCUCGUGAAUUCAUCUCCGGGGGUAGAGCACUGUUUCGGCAAGGGGGUCAUCCCGACUUACCAACCCGAUGCAAACUGCGAAUACCGGAGAAUGUUAUCACGGGAGACACACGGCGGGUGCUAACGUCCGUCGUGAAGAGGGAAACAACCCAGACCGCCAGCUAAGGUCCCAAAGUCAUGGUUAAGUGGGAAACGAUGUGGGAAGGCCCAGACAGCCAGGAUGUUGGCUUAGAAGCAGCCAUCAUUUAAAGAAAGCGUAAUAGCUCACUGGUCGAGUCGGCCUGCGCGGAAGAUGUAACGGGGCUAAACCAUGCACCGAAGCUGCGGCAGCGACACUAUGUGUUGUUGGGUAGGGGAGCGUUCUGUAAGCCUGUGAAGGUGUGCUGUGAGGCAUGCUGGAGGUAUCAGAAGUGCGAAUGCUGACAUAAGUAACGAUAAAGCGGGUGAAAAGCCCGCUCGCCGGAAGACCAAGGGUUCCUGUCCAACGUUAAUCGGGGCAGGGUGAGUCGACCCCUAAGGCGAGGCCGAAAGGCGUAGUCGAUGGGAAACAGGUUAAUAUUCCUGUACUUGGUGUUACUGCGAAGGGGGGACGGAGAAGGCUAUGUUGGCCGGGCGACGGUUGUCCCGGUUUAAGCGUGUAGGCUGGUUUUCCAGGCAAAUCCGGAAAAUCAAGGCUGAGGCGUGAUGACGAGGCACUACGGUGCUGAAGCAACAAAUGCCCUGCUUCCAGGAAAAGCCUCUAAGCAUCAGGUAACAUCAAAUCGUACCCCAAACCGACACAGGUGGUCAGGUAGAGAAUACCAAGGCGCUUGAGAGAACUCGGGUGAAGGAACUAGGCAAAAUGGUGCCGUAACUUCGGGAGAAGGCACGCUGAUAUGUAGGUGAAGUCCCUUGCGGAUGGAGCUGAAAUCAGUCGAAGAUACCAGCUGGCUGCAACUGUUUAUUAAAAACACAGCACUGUGCAAACACGAAAGUGGACGUAUACGGUGUGACGCCUGCCCGGUGCCGGAAGGUUAAUUGAUGGGGUCAGCGCAAGCGAAGCUCUUGAUCGAAGCCCCGGUAAACGGCGGCCGUAACUAUAACGGUCCUAAGGUAGCGAAAUUCCUUGUCGGGUAAGUUCCGACCUGCACGAAUGGCGUAAUGAUGGCCAGGCUGUCUCCACCCGAGACUCAGUGAAAUUGAACUCGCUGUGAAGAUGCAGUGUACCCGCGGCAAGACGGAAAGACCCCGUGAACCUUUACUAUAGCUUGACACUGAACAUUGAGCCUUGAUGUGUAGGAUAGGUGGGAGGCUUUGAAGUGUGGACGCCAGUCUGCAUGGAGCCGACCUUGAAAUACCACCCUUUAAUGUUUGAUGUUCUAACGUUGACCCGUAAUCCGGGUUGCGGACAGUGUCUGGUGGGUAGUUUGACUGGGGCGGUCUCCUCCUAAAGAGUAACGGAGGAGCACGAAGGUUAGCUAAUCCUGGUCGGACAUCAGGAGGUUAGUGCAAUGGCAUAAGCCAGCUUGACUGCGAGCGUGACGGCGCGAGCAGGUGCGAAAGCAGGUCAUAGUGAUCCGGUGGUUCUGAAUGGAAGGGCCAUCGCUCAACGGAUAAAAGGUACUCCGGGGAUAACAGGCUGAUACCGCCCAAGAGUUCAUAUCGACGGCGGUGUUUGGCACCUCGAUGUCGGCUCAUCACAUCCUGGGGCUGAAGUAGGUCCCAAGGGUAUGGCUGUUCGCCAUUUAAAGUGGUACGCGAGCUGGGUUUAGAACGUCGUGAGACAGUUCGGUCCCUAUCUGCCGUGGGCGCUGGAGAACUGAGGGGGGCUGCUCCUAGUACGAGAGGACCGGAGUGGACGCAUCACUGGUGUUCGGGUUGUCAUGCCAAUGGCACUGCCCGGUAGCUAAAUGCGGAAGAGAUAAGUGCUGAAAGCAUCUAAGCACGAAACUUGCCCCGAGAUGAGUUCUCCCUGACCCUUUAAGGGUCCUGAAGGAACGUUGAAGACGACGACGUUGAUAGGCCGGGUGUGUAAGCGCAGCGAUGCGUUGAGCUAACCGGUACUAAUGAACCGUGAGGCUUAACCUU